GGGGAUGUAGGUUAGCUUGGUAUACUGCCAGCCUCGGGUGCUGGAGAUCAUGGGU
rnacentral:tRNA from 1 species